rnacentral:lncRNA from 10 species
AGCCUAGCUGUCAUUUCAAAGCCAGCCCAGCCUCCAGCUGGGGACGAUGAGGUCCAGAGAAGGGAAAUGACACACAGAGCUGAGACCAUGUCCAGGACAGCACUCACGGCAGCUGCUGCCCCCCAUCUGAAGGACAGAUGAGCUCCACGUUCAUCAGGAUGCCAUCCAACCGCGGAAUCUUCCAGCAACAAACACAGCCCUCUAGGGACCCCUGACACACAGAAAUCCCAUUGCAUGCCUCCCAUCUUGCUCAGAGUAAGGCUCAAAGCCCUCCCAUGGUUUAUAAGGCCCUGCACAAGAUACCCCUGCCUCUCUCUCCCCCUUGCCCCCUGUAACCAUCAUCCAGCCCCAGGGCCUUUGCACUUGCUGCUCCCUGUGCCUGAAGACUUUUUCCCCAAAUGUCUGGAGACUCACUCCUUCCCCUCCUCCAGAGAUUUUCUCACAUAGCACCGCCUCCAUGCAGCCUUACCGACUGCCCCUCCCCAGCACUCCCUAACACUCCCAUCCUCUCCCCACGGCACUCCUCACCAUCUGGCCACCUUCUAUUUCACUUCUUUAUUCUUUUGCCUGUCUGCUCUGACUAAAAUGCAAGCUAUACAAGGUGGGAUUUUUGUCUGUUUUAUCCAUUGCUGUAUACUCAGAACCUAGAACAAUGCUUCACACAUAGUAG